CGGUAAAGUAUAAGUAAUGGCAGAGAAAGGGAAAUUGCAGAAAAACAGAGCAGCAUGGAAAAUGACGACGCUGAAAUGCUCGGUUCAGACAGCAACGAAGCUGGCUUGGAGUUGGAUGACAUGAAGAAGCGCUUGAAGGAAAUGGAAGACGAAGCUUCUGCUUUGCGGGAGAUGCAGGCAAAGGUCGAGAAGGAAAUGGGAUCUGUACAAGCUCCUGCUACUGCUGCUUCGAGUCAGAACAAUAAAGAGGAAGUAGAUUCUCGAUCAGUCUUUGUCGGCAAUGUGGACUAUUCAUGUACUCCAGAAGAAGUGCAGCAGCAUUUCCAGUCAUGUGGAACCGUAAACCGAGUCACCAUCCGAACUGAUAAGUUUGGCCAACCAAAGGGCUAUGCUUACGUAGAGUUUCUUGAAGUGCAGGCUGUUCAAGAAGCUCUUUCGCUGAAUGAAUCUGAACUACACGGGCGUCAAUUGAAGGUUACUGCUAAGAGGACCAAUAUACCAGGGAUGAAGCAAUAUCGUCCUCGCCGGCCUAAUCCUUACCAGGGGUUUCGAGGCAGAGCCCCGUAUGCACCUCCUUUUGCUUAUGCUCCUUUUGGAUAUGGAAAAGUUCCAAGGUUUAGAAUGGGAAUGCGCUAUAGUCCCUACUAUUAAUUAUGCUGAAUCAGAACUUUUGUCUAAUGGAUGGAAGGACAUAACCUACUCCCUGUUCUAGUGUCAUGGCUGAUGCAGGCCAUUCAGCAUGAGGGAACGAACGGUACGGCCACCGAUUUAGCAGAAAACCUUGAGAAAGAUUGUCCACGCAAUUUCUCGAGUAACCUCAUACCGUGACCCUCUGCACUGAGUAUCAGAAGAACCUGCAUGGUUUACACUUUAGAUUGCUGUAAAUGCCUUCUUAAAUGUAAUCAACUAACAAUUUGAGUGCAUCAGACAUACCAUGCUUAUUAUAGCUGUUCAUUUAAUUAUAUCCUUCACAUGUAUGUAUAAUACUGCAGUGGGCAACUUUGUCACGAAAAAGCAUUGAAAAAUGUGGAAGAACUGA